rnacentral:lncRNA from 10 species
AGAGGGUAACUCAGAUCAGGCUUAGAAAUCACUUGACUUAACUCAGCAGCACUUUUUCUUUUCUUUGUGUCUGUAUUAUUUUAGCAGCCUUCUCUAAAUACUGGAGGCAUUGGAUUUCAUGUCGCCAAAAGGAAUUUAAAAAUGACAAAAGUGUAAUCUGUUAGAAAUAGUUAAUUUGUAGAAUUUUACUCUAUAAGGAGGUUUAGUUUCAAUUUGUUUUGAAAUGAAGGAAUUAAGUUGUGUUUUUAACCAAAUGAAUUGGCAUCUUUAUAUUUAGGAGAAGUAACAUUGGUGAUUAUUUAUUUCAAGAAUCAUGACUGGAAAAAGCUUGGAAGUUUAGUAGAGGAGUAUAUGUUGUACAUGCAAAGACAAGAUCUGCAUGAAUCUAUGUAUUUCUGGGUGUCUGGUGAAGGCCACUUUAGGUGACUGGCCAGAGAAGGAGGUGCCCUAGUGAUCCUUGAGUCACAGCCAUACUGCUAGGACCAUGACUACCAUACCAAGAAAAGGCAGCAGCCACCUGCCUGGCAGUUUGCACACCUGUAAACUGAAGCUGCAGGAGGACCGGCGACAGCAAGAUGAUUGAUGGUAUUUGUAGAAAAAUCCUGAGAAAUCUAUCAAAAAAUGCUAGAACUAAUAAAUGCAUUUACUAAGGUAUCAGGCUACAAAGUCAACAUACAAAAAAUAUCGUAUUUCUAUAUAUUAGCUGACAACAAGUGGAAAUUAAAAAUAUUAGAGUACUCAUUUAAUAGCAUAAAAAGGAAAUACGGAUUAAUUUAACAAAAUACGUGCAAGACUUGUACACUUAAACAUUGCAGUGUGAAGCUGAAGAAGACUGAAUUAUAAGAAGAGAUACAUCCCAAAUUCAUGAAUUGGAAUGCUCAAUAUUGUUAAGAUGUCAAUCGUCCUCAACUUGACCUAUAGAGUCAAGGCCAUCUCAAUAAAAAUUACAGCAGAUUUUUUGUUUUGAAAUUGACAAACUGAUUUUAAAAGGAUAAGGAAAUAUUAAGGACCUAGAAUAACUAAAUCAAUCUUGAAAAAGAGUACAAAGUUGACAACCUACAUUUUUGGAUUUCAGGCUAUAAUAAAUCAAGAUGAUAUCAGUGUAAGGAUAGAAAAAUCUAUUAUUGGAACAGAAUAUAAAGUCCAGAAAUUGAUCUAUUAGUACAUUGUCAGUUGGUUUUUGACAAAGUUAUCAAGAUAACUCAAAGGGAGAACGGAUAGCUUUUCUGUAAGAAUCCUGGAACAAAUGGGGAAAAAUAUUUCUGAAAAUGAACCACAAUACCUACCUCACACAAAAAUUAGUUUGAGAUAGAAUAUAACUGAAACACAAAAGUUAGAUAUACAAAGCUUCUAGAAGAAAUGUAGGAAAAUAUCUUCACCAUCAAAAAGGCAGCUUUUUAGACUGACAAAAAAGCACUGACCAUAAAAUAUAGAUAAGUUAGACUAUCAAUAUUAAACAUAUCUGUUCUUCAAAAGAUACCACCAAGAAAAGACUGGGAGAAAAAUGUCAAAUAUAUAUUUGAAAAAGAACUUUCAAUCAGAAUAUGUUAAAAACUCUUACAGCUCAUGAUAAACAAUUUGAUUUAAAAAUGGGCAAAAGAUCUGGCAAACACUUCAAAAAGAAAGUAUAUAAAUGGCCAAAAGCACAUCAAAAGAUGUUCAACGUUAUCAGUUAUCAGGGAAAUCCAAAAUAAAACCACCAUGAAAUGUCA